GAUGAACGCUGGCGGCGUGCCUAAUACAUGCAAGUCGAACGGACGGACGCUGCUCUUGCUUCUCUCACGUUUGCGGCGGGCGUGUGUGUAACGCGUGUAUACCCUACCUGUCUUUCUGGGAUCACUUCGGAACACCGGCGCUUAUACCGGAUGAUCUUUUGAACCGCAUGGUUCAAUGGUGAGAUACGGUCUUGCUGUCUCUUAUCGAUGGAUCCGCGCUGCAUUAGCUAGUUGGUACGGUAACGGCUUACCAAGGCAACUAUGCAUAGCCGACGUGAGAGGGUGAUCGCCCACAUGGGAACUGAGACACGGUCAUGAGGCCUACGAGAGGCAGCAGACGGGUAUCGUCCGCAAUGGGCGAAAGCCUGGCGGAGCGACGCGGAGUGAGUGAUGAAGGUCUUGGGAUCGUAAAACUCUGUUAUUAGGGAAGAACAUAUGUGUAAGUAGACGUGGAGAGCUUGACGGUACCGAAUAAGAAAGCAACGGCUAACUACGUG
rnacentral:rRNA from 1 species